ensembl:lncRNA
AUGUUCACCACCACCUCUCUAUGUCCCUGGCAAACACGUGUGGGGGGAAGCCCUCAUCCUCAACUCCCUUACACUGCAGGCAUACAAGAAUGUGGAAAGGACGAGUUUUUCCAGACUGAAGCAGUGGAGCAGUUUCAUCAGCUGGUGCCCCAGAAGGUCAGCAUGGAGUUUGAGAAUACUAGUAUAACCCUGUCCAUGCACAGCCAGAAAAGGUGAGUCAUAAGACAUGGAGUUAGUAUGAAUUAUAUUUUAUGUGUUGGUUUGUGUUUCUGUUAUUCCAUUUUCUUCAUCCUUUGACUAUCUGAAUCAUCGGACGUGAGGACGAGCAGCUGUCGCUCAGGAGCUUCACCCCUGAGAUGAGCUUCCCUCAGAGCAGCCUGGAGCUACUUCUGGAGGGUGAGUAGAGAGCUUGGCACAAGAAAGAUGUGUGUCACAAAUGGCAAUCUAUUCCCUACAUGGUGCACUAUAUAGGGAAUAGGUUGCCAUUUUGGAUGUAGCCAUAGAGGAGGGGAUGAGAGGGUCUGGGAGGGUGGGGAAAAUAUCCAUUCCUUGUUUGUGUAUCAUCAGAUGGGCUUCUCCUCUCCCAGAGCAGACAGAGAAUCCUUUGCCUUAACACCCUCAGGACUGUCUUGCGAGUGGUGUGGAUUUGAUUGAUAUAGUUACUAGUUUUCAUAGUUGCAUUGCAUCAACAUAGCUUUUUGCAAAUAUGUUUGACAUUUGAUCUCUCGUAAUAAAUAAGUUUGUUCUGAAGUCUCCUGCUUAUCUCCCACUCAUGUCCCCAGGUGACAUCAGUGGACAUUUCAGGGCCAGUCACAGUCAACACCUGCAUCAUCCACUACCGUCACCAGGAGUUCUCCCAUUGGCUAGACCUGUUUCCAUGGGAACAGCUUAUUCAUAGGAAAACAGCUCAUAGAAAGAGGUAGGAGCAUUUUCAACUGACAAACCAGACGGGAGAAUGUCAAGCACACCAGUUGAUUGCUUGAAACGGAUGUAAAGACAAUAUCCAAAAACAUACAUUACUAACUUGGCCCUAUAACAUGGUUUCUUUUUGAUAUCGAUUAACACUCUAAUCCUCUCCUGUCUGCAUCCUCAUGUUUCUGUUGUGUCUGGUGGUGUAUUGUGGUGUGUAGUCCAGUGGAGUAUUUGCAUACCCUCCCGUCCUACAGGAACUUCCCCCACCUGGACACCCCAGUGAUGAUCAGCUCCUCAGUGUCCAAUGUCAAUGUGUCUGGGAGACACUCCUCCCUUCGCCCUGGGCUUCAUCUCAGUCAGCACAGGUACAGCACAACACACACUCACACAAGGCAUGGUCAAAAUAUACUCCCGUUGCAUUAAAGGUCAAGAAUAUGUUGUGGAAACACAAAGUUUAGUCUUGCCUGGAGAGGAAUGACAGGAAUGCUAAUGAACAGCAGUGGGUGUUUUUCUUCAGUUCAUUCUGCUUUCAACAUUGCAGUGGUUUCAGGAAGUCAUGGUGCUGGAGCUGUUGAAUCAACCCUUUCCAAAAAUACCCAGCCCUGAAAAAUUAUAUAAGUCAUCAGAAGUGUUUUUGUAAGGCACAGUCAGCUUUUUACCAUUCUUUAACACAUGAACUACAAUUACUUUAUUCCUCUAUAUAUGGUAAUCAAAUGCAAAAUCCUUUUACAUCACAGAAUCAUCACACACAUAGUGAGUAGAGUUAGAGUUGCAUACCAAAGUGUAGUAAUGUGACUUGUGAUCUUCAGUAGAUCUGAAUAUGUAAUGUAUAAUGUAGAGAUGCAGCACUUCCUGGACAUCAGCACAAACGCAGAGAGCCUCAAUAUCCAGAAUGUUCACCACCACCUCUCUAUGUCCCUGGCAAACACGUGUGGGGGGAAGCCCUCAUCCUCAACUCCCUUACACUGCAGGCAUACAAGGUAGGCAAUAACUAUUUAGGGUUACUCACUCACUACUACUCCCCAAGGUUUCAGCUGGGUUCC